rnacentral:rRNA from 1 species
ACUCAAAUGAAUUGACGGGGGCCCGCACAAGCGGUGGAGCAUGUGGUUCAAUUCGAAGCAACGCGCAGAACCUUACCAACCUUUGACAUGUCCCGUAUGAGCAACAGAGAUGUAGCUCUUCAGUUCGGCUGGCGGGAACACAGGUGCUGCAUGGCUGUCGUCAGCUCGUGUCGUGAGAUGUUGGGUUAAGUCCCGCAACGAGCGCAACCCUCGCCCUUAGUUGCCAUCAUUCAGUUGGGCACUCUAAGGGGACUGCCGGUGAUAAGCCGCGAGGAAGGUGGGGAUGACGUCAAGUCCUCAUGGCCCUUACAGGUUGGGCUACACACGUGCUACAAUGGCGGUGACAAUGGGACGCAAUGGGGCAACCCUGCGCAAAUCUCAAAAAGCCGUCUCAGUUCGGAUUGCACUCUGCAACUCGAGUGCAUGAAGUUGGAAUCGCUAGUAAUCGCAGAUCAGCACGCUGCGGUGAAUACGUUCCCGGGCCUUGUACACACCGCCCGU